rnacentral:rRNA from 1 species
GAUCUCAAAUCAGGUAGGGAUACCCGCUGAACUUAAGCAUAUCAAUAAGCGGAGGAAAAGAAACCAACAGGGAUUGCCUUAGUAACGGCGAGUGAAGCGGCAAAAGCUCAGAUUUGAAAUCUGGUAUCAAAUUGAUACUCGAGUUGUAAUCUGUAGAGGAGUUUUCGGAGUACGGCUUUGGUU